rnacentral:lncRNA from 1 species
GGGGCUGUUGCCACCUCCGCCGGGGGCGAGGAGUCGCUUAAGUGCGAGGACCUCAAAGUGGGACAAUAUCCUCUGUGGAGAACACCCCCCCAUGGAGGCGAGGUAGAGUUGGGGUCGCAGUUUCCUGUUUUCCAGCACCCAACAUAACUUGUAAGGAUUCCAGUGGCAAUGAAACACAUUUUACUGGGAACGAAGUUGGUUUUUUCAAGCCCAUAUCUUGCCGAAAUGUAAAUGGCUAUUCCUACAAAGUGGCAGUCGCAUUGUCUCUUUUUCUUGGAUGGUUGGGAGCAGAUCGAUUUUACCUUGGAUACCCUGCUUUGGGUUUGUUAAAGUUUUGCACUGUAGGGUUUUGUGGAAUUGGGAGCCUAAUUGAUUUCAUUCUUAUUUCAAUGCAGAUUGUUGGACCUUCAGAUGGAAGUAGUUACAUUAUAGAUUACUAUGGAACCAGACUUACAAGACUGAGUAUUACUAAUGAAACAUUUAGAAAAACGCAAUUAUAUCCAUAAAUAUUUUUUAAAAGAAACAGAUUUGAGCCUCCUUGAUUUUAAUAGAGAACUUCUAGUGUAUGGAUUUAAAGAUUUCUCUUUUUCAUUCAUAUACCAUUUUAUGAGUUCUGUAUAAUUUUUUGUGGUUUUUGUUUUGUUGAGUUAAAGUAUAUUAUUGUGAGAUUUAUUUAAUAGGACUUCCUUUGAAAGCUGUAUAAUAGUGUUUCUCGGGCUUCUGUCUCUAUGAGAGAUAGCUUAUUACUCUGAUACUCUUUAAUCUUUUACAAAGGCAAGUUGCCACUUGUCAUUUUUGUUUCUGAAAAAUAAAAGUAUAACUUAUUCAC